rnacentral:rRNA from 1 species
AGAAGCUAAAUUAGGGCUUACGGAGGAUACCUAGGCACAGGGAGGCGAAGAAGGACGCGGUUACCGGCGAUACGCCCUGGGGAGUUGGAAGCGAACGUUGAUCCAGGGGUUUCCGAAUGGGGCAACCCAAUAACUACCAUCUGAAUCCAUAGGAUGGGAAGAGCGAACUCCGUGAAUUGAAACAUCUUAGUAGCGGAAGGAAAAGAAAACAAAAGUGAUUCCCUUAGUAGCGGCGAGCGAAGUGGGAGGAGCCCAAACCGAUGGGCAAGACCUGUCGGGGUUGUAGGACUGCUAAAUGUAUCCAGGAGAUUAGACGAGGUGUUUGAAAGACACGCCAGAGAGGGUGAAAGCCCCGUAGUCGAAGGUUGAAUGGAGCUGGCAGUAUCCUGAGUAGCACGGUACACGAGGAAUUCCGUGUGAAUCAGCCGGGACCACCCGGUAAGGCUAAAUACUACCCUGUGACCGAUAGUGAACCAGUACCGCGAGGGAAAGGUGAAAAGAACCCCGGGAGGGGAGUGAAAUAGAACAUGAAACCGUAAGCCUACAAGCAAUCGAAGCACGAUUGAACGUGUGACGGUGUGCCUGUUGAAGAAUGAGCCGGCGACUUAUAGGCAGUGGCAGGUUAAGGCGGGAAUGCUGGAGCCAAAGCGAAAGCGAGUGUGAAGAGCGCGAUGGUCACUGUUUAUAGACCCGAACCCGGGUGAUCUAACCAUGGGCAGGCUGAAGCUUGGGUAACACCAAGUGGAGGGCCGAACCGACCGAUGUUGAAAAAUCGGCGGAUGACCUGUGGUUAGCGGAGAAAUUCCAAUCGAACUCGGAGCUAGCUGGUUCUCCCCGAAAUAUGUUGAGGCAUAGCGGCUAGGGAAAGUUAGGGGGUAAAGCACUGAAUCGGUGCGGGCGGCGAGAGCUGUACCAAAUCGAAUCAAACUCUGAAUACCUAAUGUUGGUCCUAGCCAGUCAGACUGUGGGAGAUAAGUUCCAUGGUCAAGAGGGAAACAGCCCAGACCACCAGCUAAGGUCCCUAAGUAUGGCUAAGUGAUAAAGGAGGUGGGAAGACGGAGACAACCAGGAGGUUUGCUUAGAAGCAGCCACCCUUGAAAGAGUGCGUAAUAGCUCACUGGUCAAGUUUUCCUGCGCCGAAAAUGAACGGGGCUAAGCCAUGCACCGAAGCUGUGGAAUUGAUCCUUCUCAUCAACAUCAAUCUUGAUUGGUUAACUGAUUGCUCUCAUUCUUUUCUGAUGUGGGAAGGGAUUGGGUGGCUGAGGUUGAAUGUUGAUGGGAAUGGUAUUGGUUGGUAGGGGAGCGUUCUGUAGUAGUGUGAAGCGUUAGCGUGAGCAGGCGUGGACGAGGCAGAAGUGAGAAUGUCGGCUUGAGUAGCGAAAAGAUGGGUGAGAAUCCCAUCCCCCGAAAGUCCAAGGGUUUCCCCACAAGGCUCGUCCAUGGGGAGUUAGUCGGGACCUAAGGCGAGGCUGAAAGGCGUAGUCGAUGGUGAUAGGGUUAAUAUUCCCUGACCGAUGUGCAGGAGCGAACUGGGGACGCAUGAGAAAUUACUCCGCCCUUAGUGGAUUGGGAGGGUUCUACGGAACUCGUGGAGGAAAGGUAGUGCCAAGAAAAGCCAGGUAGUGUUGAUUGCACACGCCCGUACCCGAAACCGACACAGGUGGACAGGUAGAGGAUACCAAGGGGCGCGAGAUAACUCUCUCUAAGGAACUCGGCAAAAUGGCCCCGUAACUUCGGGAGAAGGGGUGCCACCGUGAGGUGGUCGCAGUGAAAGGGUCCAAGCAACUGUUUAUCAAAAACACAGGUCUCUGCUAACUCGUAAGAGGAUGUAUAGGGGCUGACGCCUGCCCAGUGCCGGAAGGUUAAGGAAGUCGGUCAGGCAACGAAGCUGACGACCGAAGCCCCGGUGAACGGCGGCCGUAACUAUAACGGUCCUAAGGUAGCGAAAUUCCUUGUCGGGUAAGUUCCGACCCGCACGAAAGGCGUAAUGAUUUGGACGCUGUCUCGGAGAGAGGCUCGGCGAAAUAGAAUUGUCUGUGAAGAUGCGGACUACUUGCACCUGGACAGAAAGACCCUAUGAAGCUUUACUGUAGCUUGGUAUUGGGUUCGGGCUCCGCUUGCGCAGGAUAGGUGGGAGAUGGUGAUCCAUGGCUCGUGGGCUAUGGGGAGUCAACGGUGAGAUACCACUCUGGCGGGGCUAGAAUUCUAACCUUGACCCGUAAUCCGGGCAGGGGACAGUAUCAGGUGGGCAGUUUGACUGGGGCGGUCGCCUCCUAAAUGGUAACGGAGGCGCACAAAGGUUCCCUCAGGCUGGUCGGAAAUCAGUCGUAGAGUGUAAAGGCAUAAGGGAGCUUGACUGCAAGACCAACAAGUCGAGCAGGGUGGAAACACGGUCUUAGUGAUCCGACGGUUCUGUGUGGAAGGGCCGUCGCUCAACGGAUAAAAGUUACUCUAGGGAUAACAGGCUGAUCUCCCCCAAGAGUUCACAUCGACGGGGAGGUUUGGCACCUCGAUGUCGGCUCAUCGCAACCUGGUGCGGAAGUACGUGCCAAGGGUUGGGCUGUUCGCCCAUUAAAGCGGUACGUGAGCUGGGUUCAGAACGUCGUGAGACAGUUCGGUCCAUAUCCGGUGCAAGCGUAAGAGUAUUGAGAGGAGUCUUCCUUAGUACGAGAGGACCGGGAAGAACUGACCUCUGGUGUACCUGUUAUUGUGCCAACGGUAAACGCAGGGUAGCCAUGUCGGGAGUGGAUAACCGCUGAAAGCAUCUAAGUGGGAAGCCCACCUCAAGAUGAGUGCUCUUUUAAGGUCGCAGGUAGAUUACCUGUUUGAUAGGCUCUAGGUGGAAGCUCAGUAAUGGGUGGAGCCGAGGAGUACUAAUUGACCGUUUGCUUA